AGGCACAUGGCCUAGUGGUUAGGGUGUUGCACUCACAAUUGCAAGAUUGUGGUUUCAAUUCCAUUGUGCUCU
rnacentral:tRNA from 1 species